ACAGUGACAGGGUUCAGACCAGGCUGAGGAAUAGAGCGCAGCUCCAACGCCAGGAACCAGCUCUCCAGUGCAGGAUGUCUGAAAAUCAAGGGAUUUGGUACCUUGUCAUUUGAAGACACUUCUGUCAUCAGAGGCUCCUCAUCCAUGAAGAGAUCCCAUCAACCUGAUGCUCCUCCUGUUUCUGCUGCUGCUCCAGCUUUAUUUCAUUGUCCCAGCACAACAAGAUGCUCAGCAGGUCCACACAGAGCUCAACAAGUUGAGGACCCAAAGUUUUACCAAGCUAUGAAAAUAAAGACAUCUUGGAAGUGAAGAAAAGAGGAGGAUGGGAGCAGAAGGCACUGAAGCUCUUUCAUUGUACAUGGAGCCACAUUAAUUAUCAAUUCCUACUUGCCUUCUCCCCACCACACAAAUGAAGAGGCUCAUCCUGUUUUACUCAUCAUCAAUGACAGCAAAGGUGUGAUCCAUUUGUUCUAAUUUAGUCACCACCUGCCCAGGAUCUGAGGCAGGCACCCUCAGCUCUGUUUAUUAUCAGCAGAGAGAAACAGGUACCCCCAGAGAGCAAUUUGUCUUAUCCCAAGAUGGGGGUGUCUAGAACAGGUCACAAAAAUCACACUCUGGAGAUUUUUGGGGGCAUUAAGGCAGCCUGAGGUGACUGGCUCAAACUUGGGUGCAUAACUUCUGCACAUCCCACUCAGAAUGCCCACAAGAGCUGCUCAAGUGAUGCAAUAAUUCUCACUGCAGGCUGACACGAUCUGAAUGGGACCAGCAUCUCCCAGCACAGAUAAAGUCUGGCCUGGACAGUCACAGUUAGCAACCCUGCAUUUGAUGCCUGACAUGAACCAGGAGAUAAUGGUGGGAUUGCAGCUUUGAGAGCCACCAGGUGAGCUCCACCCAGCCAUCAUUAAUCAAACACACUCUGCUUCCACAUCCCAAACUUUGGGGCCUCCAGGCAUGAGGCAGCAAUGCUCAAAUGUGCAGCUGAGCAUCUCUUUUUUCUGGAGCAGCAAGUUCCUUAUUGCUAGUGACAGUAAAUUAGUUACUAUGGAUUCACAAACACCUGGUGAUCCCAGUCUAAUCAUUAACCUUCCUGCAAGGUGGGAAGGCUCCCUAUCAAAAGGAUUAAAUUUUAAAUUUGGAGCCUCACUUAAAAAAAAAACCAAAAAACAAGAUUCUUAAAGUUUUUCAUGAUUGCUCAGAAGAUUGACUGGAGGUAAUUUUGACAAAGCAAAAAAGAUGUUGGAAGGUUUCUUUUCCAACAUAAAUCCAAACACAAGACCCAGAUAUGUGGAUAAUCAUCACUGCAAUGCAAUUGUCUCUCAGGGGACACUGGUACAUCCUACAGGGCACACUGCAACAGCACAGAGCAGCUCAGGACAAGAAUUAAUUAAACACACCCAGCUGCUGACACCCCUUCCCAAGAAACUCUGGUUUCUGUACUACUGGCAGAGAGGCCUCAAGUGAAAAGAUAAAUUAACAAACUUCCAACAAACUCAAAAAGAAGAAAGAACAAAGGUGGUGCUUCUGUCUGUAAAAGCCUAUUAGUACCUCCAGAAAUCUGUCUGUAUCUGUCCCACCCCUGAGUUCUUCUCUCCUGCAAUCCUGCUGCCAUCCUAAUCACUUUUGAAGUUGCUUAUUUUACUGUUUUAUUAAAUCCCAAUUCUUCAUACUUCAGGUGUUGGAGGUACUGAACAUAAAUUAUGUUCUGCCCUAUUUCCAAGGUACAGAAUUCUUAUUGUUUCUAUGAAAUCAUUGCUUAAGUCUCUGCCAGACACUUGGGCUGUCUGAACACCUGAUGCCGUCUCUCCCUGCAGGGAUCUGCAGAGGUCCCUCAUCAGCUGCAGCCACCAGAGUUCCACACUGAUGCAGGAGGAGCAUCUUUGCCUUUGGAGUGGGAGCUCUGCUCGCUGGGCAGUGAGAAUUGCCCUUUCCCUGCAUUUUGUUGAGUCAGCUCAAAGCACAAAGUGCUUCUUAGUUUUCCCAUCUGUGCUGGACCUCACUCAACAAAUGAUGAGCCAGGGGUGUGUUGUGCUUCUAUCCUCUUUCACCUUUACCACCUGCUAAUUUUGGAACGUGCAGUUUAUAAUUACAGCGCUAUUCCAGGGCUCCUGGCUUGGGAAAGGAGAGUGUUUUAAAGGGAAGCUUAAUGGCUGCCUUUUGGUUGAAUACACCGUGAAGAGCUGAGCCUGACCUACAUUAAAAGCUCAGAGAACUCUUCAUUCUGCAGAUGAAUAGAGGGUCCUAACACUGAGGGGAAGGUACAUACCAAUUUCUAAAUCUGAGUCUGCAUCUAUUAUACUUUUGUCAUGAAGACGGGAAGCUUUUGAUAAAGGGGAGGAAAAUUAGAGAAUAAUUUCCUUUCCUGAGGCUGCACCUACAAUCAAAGGAGAAUAUCAACUAUUGCAAAACCCCGAGCAUGGGGAAUUUUACUCCAGAGGAAGUCAGUGAUCAGGGCUCUUCUCUCUUUUUCUAGGGUUAUUAAAUAUUAUCUCAGAGUAAACCAUCUGUCUGAUGAUUUUCCACUGACUGAUACUUUAUUUGUGAAUGCAAUACUAUUUGUGAAAUAAAACCGCCUUAUUAGGAUAUUUAA